GCACACACAACACCUUACACACACACACACUCGCAAGCGUGCACACGAACACAGGUGUAGGAGCAGAACUCUGGGGAUAGAUAUCGAAAAAAGAAAAUCCAUAAAAUCCAUUUUCCUAAUAAAGCAAAAACUUUCGCCACAUUUUCCUGUGCAGCCUUCCCUUUUCCGUUGCUGAACGGCGAAGCGGAAGUAUCACUAUCCCGCUUUCUCAAUGGGCGGGCGGCGACGAAGCAGAAUGACACUAGUCAACAAACACGACGAAAUACACCAAAAUACUGGCAUCCAAGCGAAUUUUCAUAAAAAAAAACAAUGUUAUAAAAAUACAUUAAUCGUACAUUAAACAAAAAAAUCAUAACUCAUUAAUCAAUUGUGGUCUAUCAGAAAAAGUGGGUCUGAUGUCAGGGUUUUUUUCUGGCUGUUGACUAGUGUAAUUGGCAGUGCCAGUCGGUGCCAGUGUUCCAGGCUGGCUAUCUAUUUGUCGUUGUUGUCGCUUUUGUUGCACAUUGAAAAUAAUAUACAAAAUAAUUGAAUUACUCGAAAUGUGGUGUGUGCAUGUACAUAUGCAAAUGUAUGAGUAAGGGGCGUUCAGGGUGGCGGGUACUGAUAAGCAAGCUCCAUCAAUGCUAAAGCGCGCCAGAGAUCGUUUCGUUUGUCAGCACAGGGUGCCUCUCGUCUCGCCUCACUCGUCUUCUUACGUAUGAUAAGAGCCGCAUUUGGAAUUAAGCGUGAAUCGAAAACGUGACUGUCCCUCCGCUCGAGCAUCGGCACGUAAAUUAUGCUGAUGACACGGGGCUGUAUCUGCCACUCCGCCCGGCCAGGCAGGCAGGGCAGGCUCAAGCUCACAAUUCCAAUGAUUGCUGCGGUAUUGAAAAAUACCAGCACGUUUCUACCAGCCAGACCCGAAAGAAUUGCUGGUAACUGGCUUCGGCUGCCAUUUGAUCGCUGCACACAAAUAUUUACAAUACCAUUUAAUGACAUUUUGCCACAAAAAUAAUCUGAUCUGUAAAAAAUCAGUACUUGACUGUUGGAUACCUCUUAAAUUUAGAGAGAUAAACUCUGACUCCGAAGGGUUCUGCCUACCCUUGUAUACAGCGAGUACCGGGUAUCAGCUCCGCCCCACCACACCUCCCGCACCAAGACGGAUCGCAAUGACUUUUUCUGGUUUUAUGCAUUUAUUUGGUUAAUUGGGCCUUUGAACUCGUCGCCAAAGACGAAAACAGAGAGACGAUGAUGAAAACGAAGCAGAGAUAAAGUCAUGCGCGACGAAACUUGAUUUAAAACAAAGCGGAUCCCCGCGAAUCCCCUCCAGACCAACACCCCCUACGGAGAGGGCCGAGACGCUGUCAACGCCCCCUUGGCGACGGCGGGCGAAGAUAAUGAAAAUAAAAACACGCCAAUCAAAAUGCAAUUGCAAUAUGAAAUAUCCAUAUAUUAAUUAUACCAAUAAUCUCA